UUAGCUUUAGUAAUGCUGAGACCACAACACUGCGAUGCGACGUCUCGGGUCGUAAAAAUCUACAACGUCGCACAAUGCACUGUGCCCGAUGCGUCGCCGCACCGUACAAACUGGCGAUGUGACGAUGUGUUCCCUUUCAGUCGGUGUCCACACCUUUCUGUGUGCUAUUCUGUGCUGUGUUUAGAAAUAGAAUAUAAAGUAUAAGUAGGAUCAAUGUAGUGCGGUCCAUGGAUUACUAGAAAUUGAUGGUCUGAGUUUUUUCGUACGAUGUCGUAAGCGAUGAAAUUUUUGCAUUGCACUGCGAUGCGGCAUCGUUUUUGCGAUGCGAUGUCGCAUCGCAGUGUUGUGGCCUCGCCCUACUUUU